UGUGGGAGCUGGCUUGCCAGCGAUGACGUCGGCCUAUCCGACAUUGAUGUGUCUGACAGAUCGCUAUCGCUGGCGAGCCAGCUCCCACC
rnacentral:misc_RNA from 1 species